GGGGCUUCGCAUGGACGAGUCUGACGGAGCACGCCGCGUGAGUGAUGAAGGUCUUCGGAUCGUAAAACUCUGUUGUUAGGGAAGAACAAGGGUGAGAGUAACUAGGUCCUCCUUUGCGGGUCUCUAUCAGAAAAGCCCGGGCUACUACGUGCCCAGCGCCGCGGGUAUU
rnacentral:rRNA from 1 species